AUACCUACGGGACGCAGCAGUGAGGAAUAUUGGUCAAUGGGCGCGAGCCUGAACCAGCCAAGUCGCGUGAGGGAAGACGGUCCUAUGGAUUGUAAACCUCUUUUGUCGGGGAGCAAAAGACGCCACGCGUGGCGUUCCGAGAGUACCCGAAGAAAAAGCAUCGGCUAACUCCGUGCCAGCAGCCGCGGUAAUACUGAGGAUGCGAGCGUUAUCCGUAUUUAUUGUGUUUAAAGGUUGCGCAGGCGGAAGAUCAAGUCAGCGUUAAAAUUGAGAGUCUCAACCUCUUCGAGCCGUUGAAACUUGUU
rnacentral:rRNA from 1 species